rnacentral:rRNA from 1 species
UACGUAGGGUGCAAGCGUUAAUCGGAAUUACUGGGCGUAAAGCGUGCGCAGGCGGUGAUGUAAGACAGUUGUGAAAUCCCCGGGCUCAACCUGGGAACUGCAUCUGUGACUGCAUCGCUGGAGUGCGGCAGAGGGGGAUGGAAUUCCGCGUGUAGCAGUGAAAUGCGUAGAUAUGCGGAGGAACACCGAUGGCGAAGGCAAUCCCCUGGGCCUGCACUGACGCUCAUGCAAGAAAGCGUGGGGAGCAAACAGGAUUAGAAAACCCCGUAGUCC